rnacentral:lncRNA from 1 species
AAUCAUUCAAAAUUCAAAAUUUGUAUGUUUGAAUGUGAAUUUUGGAAAUGUAACAUUGUAUAAUAAAUUCAUAAUUUAAAAAAAAAAAAAUUCAAAAACAAAGAAAAAUAAUUUCAUAAAUCUACGUUUUGGGCAUGCUCAACAAAACAACCGGUACAUCUCAAAAUUACUAGAAUAAUGUAACUUAAAAUUCAACACAUUUAUAAAAAAAAAAAUUGAUGAGAACAAAUAUUUUAAUUUCUGUCUACAAAAUAUGAUAUUCAAAGGUACUUGUACUUUUGCUUUUAACUCUACUUUAAUUUUUCAUUGAUAACAGACCAUGAUUGCUUUGUUGAUAUCAUGUAUUUAAGUUCAAUAUACGAAACGAAGAUAUCUGUUAGUGAGUGAUAUGAGUUGUAAACUAAUCUCACAAUUUUUUUUAUGUCCA